GAGCAGUUAUAGCACAAGCCUGUAAUCUCAGUAGCUCGUGAGGCUGAGACAGGAGGAUUGGGAGUUCAAAGCCAGUCUCAGCAAAAAAAAAAAAAAAAAAAAAAAAAAAAAAAAGGCACUAAGCAAAUCAGUGGGUGCUAAGCAACUCAGUGAGAUCCUGUCCCUAAAUAAAAUAUGAAAUAGGGCUGGGAAUGUGGCUUUAGUGGUCAAGUGCCCUUGAGUUCAAUAUCUGGUUGUCCCCCACACUCCCCGAAAAGAAAGAAAUACAGAAAAGAAAGUAAUGAACAAAUAAGUUAACUCCAUAGAGGCACCAUUCAUACACCAUUCAUCGAUUACUUUAAUAUAAACUCUUUAGACUGUUCCUUAGCAAAUGUAGACCCAGAACUCAUUUGGGUGUGAGAGAUGUACUUCAGUCUAAGCAAACUCAGAGAAGACUAACAUAAAAAACAGAGACUAAUAUAAAAAGCUUUUAAAAUUUAUACUAAGAUUAAACAAGCCAUGAUAGUCUGGUGGCAUACAUCUUUAUUGUAAGACUGUAUCUCCCAAAAAGAUUUGAGUGAUUGGGUCCACUGAUCAGAGCUUACUGAUGCUUUUCUGAAAGCUUGAGACAGUGGUUUAUAAUUCUACUUUAUUGUUAGGCUUUGUGAAGGGCUCUGAAGGUGUAGACAAAGUAUUUAACCUGUUGAGCCUCAAGUUUUUAAUCAUUAAAAUAGUAAUAACUAGCUACCUUAUAGAAUUGUAGAGAAUUAAAUAAAACAAUCCAUGUAAAAUGACUGGUACAGUGCCU
rnacentral:lncRNA from 1 species